CUGGCUCAGAUUGAACGCUGGCGGCAGGCUUAACACAUGCAAGUCGAGCGGAAACGAURGUAGCUUGCUACUAGGCGUCGAGCGGCGGACGGGUGAGUAAUACUUAGGAAUCUACCUAGUAGUGGGGGAUAGCUCGGGGAAACUCGAAUUAAUACCGCAUACGACCUACGGGAGAAAGGGGGCAGUUUACUGCUCUCGCUAUUAGAUGAGCCUAAGUCGGAUUAGCUAGAUGGUGGGGUAAAGGCCUACCAUGGCGACGAUCUGUAGCUGGUCUGAGAGGAUGAUCAGCCACACCGGGACUGAGACACGGCCCGGACUCCUACGGGAGGCAGCAGUGGGGAAUAUUGGACAAUGGGCGAAAGCCUGAUCCAGCCAUGCCGCGUGUGUGAAGAAGGCCUUUUGGUUGUAAAGCACUUUAAGCAGUGAAGAAGACUCCAUGGUUAAUACCCGUGGACGAUGA
rnacentral:rRNA from 1 species